UUGGACAUAAGGGAGUCUGAGGCUCGUAGACUCUCCAUGCCGAAAUCGCGGACACGCAUGAGACACAAGCCUAGGUUACUUGUUCGGAACAUUCGAGACUGGGCUGGUCGCCAGCAGAACUCACGUACUCGCACGCACGUAAUACGUAGGGCAGCGUUCGGAGUAUGGCAAAGGGCAGUGUACUAAGUUGAUGAAGCGCCGGCUCACGGGAGGCAUUGAGCUGCGAACUAGAGUGAGCAGAGGAAAGGGAAUUCCCGUGUAGCAGUAAAUGCGUAGAGAUGGAGGAACACAGUGGCGAAGGCAGCUCUGUUUGUACACUAUCACUUGCAGAAAAGCGUGGGGAGCAACAGGUUUUCCCUGUAGUCCAGCGUUAAAGGAUAUUAUAGUUGUUGGGGUAGCAUACCUUAGUAACGCAGUAACGCGUGAAGUAGCCACCUGGGGGGGUACGUCGCAAGAUUAAAACUCAAAAGGAAUUGACGGGGGCCCGCACAACGGUGGAUGAUGUGGAUUAAUUCGAUGCAACGCGAAAAACCUUACCUACCCUUGCAUGUCAGGAAUCCAGCAGAGACGUUGGAGUGCUGAAAGAGAACCUGAACACAGGUGCGCAUGGCUGUGUCAGCUCGUGUCGUGAGAUGUUGGGUUAAGUCCCGCAACGAGCGCAACCCUUGUCCUUAGUUGCUACCAUUUAGUUGAGCACUUUAAGGAGACUGCCGGUGACAAACCGGAGGAAGGUGGGGAUGACGUCAAGUCCUCAUGGCCCUUAUGGGUAGGGCUUCACACGUCAUACAAUGGUCGGUACAGAGGGUUGCCAAGCCGCGAGGUGGAGCUAAUCUCAGAAAGCCGAUCGUAGUCCGGAUUGCACUCUGCAACUCGAGUGCAUGAAGUCGGAAUCGCUAGUAAUCGCGGAUCAGCAUGUCGCGGUGAAUACGUUCCCGGGCCUUGUACACACCGCCCGUCACACCAUGGGAGUGGGUUCUACCAGAAGUAGCUAGGCUAACCGCAAGGGGGCCGGUACCACGUAGUUGGC
rnacentral:rRNA from 1 species